UCCCUGAGUGCCUUCAGUUCGGGAAGGUCAUCGUCAUCACAUGUCUGUCCAAGUACUGCCCUGUGGCCAUGGCCCCCUCUCACCACGGUGCGUCCCCCAAAACCUUUUGUCCAGGACGUCUGUCGGUUUCACUUUCUUGUUUUCAGCUCUUCUAUUUUAAAAUGUCUUUCUAUCUCUGUCGUGGUUUUUCUGUCUGUGGGGGAAGACGUGCCCACUUUUCCAUCUGGAAACCAGAAAUCCCUUUUCAAAAAUAUUUAAAGUUUAAGCAACAGUGUUUUGUCUUUAUGCGCUGUGUUGGUUUUUAUAGCUACCUCCUCCAGGGCCACGGUGGAGCCCUGUGGCUGACGGUGUGGACUCUGGAGUCAGAUCUCCCGGACUGAGCCUGGCUUUCACCCUUACUGAAGCGAGUGUUUCCAUUGCUGCGUGCCUCAGUGUCCCCACCUGUAAAGCGGGAGAAAUAAUGGCUCACGCUGCAUCGGGGGCCACCCCGCAGGAGCUGCACUUCAUGGACACGAGCUCUUGUCCACGGCAAGAGAUGCUCAUGUUCCCGGUCCCUUAGGAACAUGUUUAAAUUGGGUGGCAGUACCCCCUGAAACCAGCUCUGCCCACUUGGGGGUCUCUCUCGUCCUUCUGGCCCAGAUGGCGAUCAAACAGGCACCGAGCCCGUCGGUCGUGUUGUAGAUGACGUCCUCGAAAUGGCGGCCUCGUUGUGCAGACAAGGACAGUCCUCCUCCGCCACGCAGCCUCCGCUCCCGUCCGACACCAGCCCCGGGGGGCAGACGCAGCCGGACACGCAGUGAGUGCUGAACUGUGGACCGGCACAGGUCAGUGCCGGUCACCCGCUGUGCCCGGGGACGCCCUCGGGCAGCGCCCUCGCCUUGCCCUCCCGGCCACUCACACAGUCCACGUCGAGCGUGUGGCAGCUCCUGAGACACUCGGCCCCGGGCGCGCCAGCGGAGACGUUGCGGCAGUCCAGGUACACCAUGGGGGCCGCGCACCCUGCGGAGGAGGCGGGCCUGGGCUGGGAGGGGCCCCUCCCCCCACCCGGGGCCCGCGGAAGCCCCUCCCUCGGGGCGCUGCCCAGAGGCCGUACCUGAGCUCCUGUGCUCCGCUGCUCCCAGGCAACUCAGCUUCCCACCCACGCACGAGCUGUGAGAGACAGACGACCCACUCUGGACCCCCUGCCCACCCACCACCCCACAGACCUCACCCAGAUCUCUGCCCGGCUGGGGGCACCCCUCCCCCAGCGCGGAGAGAAAACCGUCCUGUGCAAUGCACACGCCCUCCCUGGGCCCUGGACCCUCAGAACCCUCUGGAGGCCAAGGGAGGGCUACCUCUUCACAGCAGGACUAAGGGGUGUGGGGGGAGGGGCAAACUUCCCUCCCCAGGGAGCACCUUUGUGUUUCAAAAUCCUCUGGGAGACACCCAGACAUCUUUGCGUGUGAAACAGGGUGAGGAGACCCUCGCUCUCCUGGGAUGGGGCACAGUGAUGUGGGGGGGGGGCAUGGGCCCAGCUGGCCCCUUACCACACCACGCUGUCGUCAUGCACCACCUCCCCCGGGGCCACUGCAGAGCCACGGAAGUAGCAGGGACAGGCCUCAGCGGACACGCAGGCACCCGAGUCAUCCAGGAAGGUGCCCGAGGGGCAGAUGCAGCCGUCCACAGGCACGAAGGUGACGCCGCAGGUGACGUCGACCUGGCUCAGAGCGCGGCAGGUGGGCUGGCAGCCGGCCACCACAUAGCUGUAGUUCUGGGACUUGGGGCAGCUGCUCACAUACUUGGCUGAGGGCAGGGGCAGCGCUCAAGUCAGUGGCUGGAUGGCCCCCUCCAAACCGGUGUUUAAGCAACCCAAGACUCAGUUUCCCCUCUGACACCCAGGGAUCGUGGGACCACAAGGUCCUUGGUUGGCCCGACCGAGGAAGCCAGAAGCUCUGGCUGAGAACAUGUGGGUGGGGGGUGGCUGCCCCCAGGAUCCCCAGCCCCCCUGCCCCCACCUGGUGCAGCCAGAGUGGCUCAGGGACACUCACUGCACACGCCGUCCCUCCAGCCUCUGAGCAGCACCCCCUUGGCGGCACAGGAGUGCACGUAGGAGGACAGGGCCGCACACAGACAGUCCUCGCUCUUCUGACAGUUGCACGUGUCGAACAUGCAGUGCUGGGGAUGGGGCCAUUGGGGACCGUCAGGAACCCCAACCCACCAAGGCCCCUCCUCUUCCCGUGGAUUCUUCCUGGGACCCCUGCCUGGACUGGGAGGUCCACCCCAAGGAGGCCCCUUGGCACAGAUGGGUGGAAAGCGGCCCCCAGGAGGGGCACACCGCACACUAAGCGACUGCAGAGGCCCGGUCAGGGGGCAGCAAGAAGGCGUGAGACCAGGCUAUGGUCAGGGUCAGGAGGGAGCGCCACAGGACAGGGCCAGGGUCGGCCGCAUCCCACGUACGUCACGGGUUGUGCUGUGUGUGGGGGACACAGGUGGGGUGAAGAGGGUGCCAUCUGCCCAGGCAGAGGUGGGCCUGGGCUUUCCACCUGGAGAUGCUCCUGAUGGUGCAUUUUAGGGCUUUGAGCUUCUGGGAAAGUGGCCCAUGAGCCAAGUGUUGUGAAGGAUGCGUGGAAACCCUAACCCACGGGGCCUGAGAAAAUGAGCUUAUUGCAAACAGGGUCUUUGCAGACGUUAUUAAGACGAGGUCAUGGGGAUGGUCCCCGAUCCAGCAUGACUGGUGUCCUUAAAGAGGAAAUUUGGACACAGACACAGGGGAGGGGCCGAGGCCAUGUGACCAGGGAGGCAGAGGUUGGGGUGACAUGGCCACAAGCCCAGGGACACCUGGAGCCCCGAGAAGCUGGGAGAGGCAGGAAGGACCUUCUCUGUAGCCUUAGGAGGGAGCAUGGGCCUGCCCACAGCUUGAUUUGGGGCUUCUGGCUUCUAGGACCGGAACAGAAUCAAUAUUUCUAGUUUUUGGUGAGCUGGUCCGUGGCCACAAACACCCCGACAGUGAUGGUGCUAAAAGCCCCGGGCAGCCCCGGGUAGGACUGACCGACCAGCCCACCGUGCUGUGAGUGGUCCUCGAGAUAGGAGACCACCAAGGGGAGGCUAAGGGGUAGGGGGCGGCUCCAGGUGGGGCAGGGGUCUCACCGAGUGGAAGGGUGCAGGGUUGAGGACAGAGUGACAGGGCGAGAAGGCUCCGGCAGGGUCGGUCAGCAGGGAGCACCAGUGCUGGGCGUAGUUCUCUGGGACAAGGGUGCGGGGGGAGGCUGGCUGGCCGGCACCCACACACCUCCUCCCCCUCACCCGCCCCCUCUGGCUGCCUGCGCUCCUGCACACAGGCCCUGGGGGGCCCCACGGCCCCCAGAGAGCUGAGCUGGGAUUUGGGGCUUGCCCACCGUGCUGAGGGGGCAGGAAGGUGCUCCUCCUCGAGACAGGCUCUGAGCACUCUGGACUGCCCGAUUUCACCCCAGGCCAUGCACACCCGGACACCAGGGGUCCCCCAGGGCCUGGUGAGAUGGGAGGUCUCGGCUCCCAGCCCAGCCCUCGUAAACGGAGGGCCCCCGGGGGGUGGGAGUACCGUUCUCCACGCUGAGGGAGCAGGGGUCCUCGAAGCUGUUCUUGACAUUGGGGCAGGCGGCCUGGGUCUUCCAGGUAUUGGCGAAGGCGGCGGCCGUGCCCUCCACCACGCCGCUGAGGGUCCGGAAGUCAUCGGCCUGGUUCUGGUUGAAGUUCCCGCACAGGCCUGGGGGCAGGGGCCCAGGGAUGGGGCAUUAGCAGGGCGUCCAGCCUGGCCAUCCGGGGGGGCUUGCUCCCUGGCUCCUGCUCUCCUCUAGAAACCACCACACGGCGGACCAGCCCCGAACCCCCAUCCCAGGAGUGGUUCCAGAGCCAUCCGUAGAUUCUUCCCGUCCUGCCCGCGGCCUGGAGCUGAGUCCGGGCACCAGCCCCCUCCCGGCCCGUCGGCGGAGCCUCACCGCACAUCUGUCCGUGAUAGGAGGGGUCCAGCCUGAGGAACACCUGCAUGAGGGGCACCAGCUGAACCUGCAGCUGCAGCCCGAGGCCCGUGUGCACCAGGACAAAGAAGGACGUAGGCCUGAAGAUGGUGAUGUUGGCUGCCGGGGGAUGGGGACGGAGUCAGAGUCUGCGUGGGGGCCAGGCCUGGCCAGACGGAGCCCCCUUGCUCCUGGGACAGCCAGGAAGCAGGGAGGGUCCCCUAGGGAUGGACUGGGAGGAUCCAGGCAUCUGGUGGGCCCGCGCCACCGCUCCGGGACCCAGGGGUGGGCGGAGCUCCUCUGCAGGUGGUAUUGGCGGUGACCACUCGUGAUCCCCGAGAGGCUGCGCCCCAAGGGUGUUCGGCCCCGGUCCCCACGGUAGCCGAGGGGGGAGCAUUGACAUCCCACGUGCAGAUGAGAAACCAACCAUGGGAUAUUCCGGAACUGCCCCGGGCCACAGAGAACCAGCCUUGGGAGCAGACCACCUGGCUGCAGUGCGGCCCGGCUGUCCCCGACCGCGUACCUGCUGACACGGGCAGCCGCGUGUGCACGGAGUUCAUGAAUACCCCGCCGCUGGCCUGGAUCUGGAUGAUCUGCACCCCUGCCCCUGCCCCCCAGGCGGCUGGGCCUGGGCUCCAUAUCCUGACUUGAGGCUCUGAGGGAGAUUCUGUCGGUUUGGGCCUCCUGGAGCUUCCAGGCCACUUCUACCCGUGGAGGCCUCCCCGCUCCCACAUGGGGCUUCUUCAGCUGGGCUCCUAAGUGCCCACCACGGACCGCCUAUGUGUGGACACGUAUUCGCAUACACGGAUGGGCACACGUGUAGCCCACGGCCCGCACACGUAGAACAUUCGUUCAGUAGGUGGAAGCUCAGACGGUGUCUCCGAGGUGGAAGCCGUGUCCCCUGCCCCCCCAGGGCUUGGAGACCCUCCGCCCGGAUGCCUCAGGGCCCAGCCCAGGAAGCCUGAGAUGACCAUCUUGGGAGAGCAGGGGCUGGGGGCAGGCCGGGCCCCAGAGAGGCGCUCACCCUAUCCGUGCAGUUGUUGGCGGGGGAAGGUAGGGGGUCCUGGCAUUGCUCUGUGGGCCCAUCCAGCUUCUGGAGAUUUCCAAACUGGAGAGGGGUCAGCCUGGCGUCUGUGGAGAGAUGCUGGGGUCAGGGUGCUGAGGGACCGUGGGGCCAGUGCAGGGGAUGGCUGCCUGGGGACCCCUGCCCGUGCCCAGGGCACCUGAAACCUCUCUGGGGCAUCGCUGUCUUGAGUAUUGCCCCCACCCCGAUUUGCUCUCCACCCAGAGCCUGGGUAAGGCCACCCCAAGGCUGCCCCCUCCAGGCCUCCUCAGGACAAGCCAGCCCUCAGCUUCCUGCUGCCCCAGGGGGCACUCACUAUGGGCAUAGAACUCGUUGACGGCCCGGAGUCCGUUGAAGUCCCCACACAGACCACACGUCUGGUUGGCGUACUUGGGGUCCAGCUCCAGCUGGGGGCAGAAGAGAGGCAGCUCCAGCCUCUGGGAGGCUGUCCCCAGUUGGGGGGGGGGCGGACAGGUGGGGGCGUCCUCACCAGGGCGGCUUCCUCUCUGUUCCACAGGAAGGUUAGCACCAGCCGGACGUCAACCUUGAUGUAGACACUGCUCUCCUCUACCAGGACGCCGGCGCGGCUGUAGGGCAGCUCCUCCCUGGGGUGGAAAUUUCUGGUCCUCCCAGGGCCAGGGUGCGCAGCAGGGUGUGGCGCCCCCCAGCAGCCCUGAGCCCAGAACCCGCCCCAGAGGCCCGGCCCUUCCCCAGCCCAGACCAGGCUCACCGCUGCCCGUUGAUGAGGAUCGAGCCGUUGGAGGCCUCCAGCACCAGCCCCUGGGUCUUGAGGAUGAUGUGGGUGAUGGUAGGCCUGGAGCCGGCCAGGCCGCGGCGGACCUGGACGUUGAAGUCCUCGUAGGCGGCCCCGCAGUGCAUGGAGAGGACGUAGUUGCACAGGCCCGGGAAGCGGAAGACGUCCCCGUCGAAGGUCUUAUAGUGGAAGUCGCCCCAGGGGGAGGAAGCUGCACACGGACCCGGAUUUGGGGGUGCCGUCCGACAUAACCAGCCUGCACCCCUCGAAAAGGCCAUGGUCAAGGAACACAGAGAAAGGCUGAGGACCUGUGGUCCUGGAUCGAAUCCUGGAGAAUGUGCGGCCAUGACGACCAUGACCGGCUCAAGACCACAGAGGGCCCUGGUUUAGAGGGCGCGGCGUGCCCCUGCUGGUUCUGCUGAGGGCGACCCCUGGCCGUCUCUAGGAGACACCCACCCGCCUAUGGAGGGGCGGAGGCCAUGCUUCUCAAACCCAUGUGGCUUAGAAAACACACGUGGAUACAGACGGUGGGCAAGUGCACGCACACACGAGAGGAACCAGCAAAGCCGAGAGACUGAGGUGCAGACAUCCGUGAAUCUGGGUAAAGGCAGACAGGAGCUCUUUCUGCUAUCUGUACAGCUUACCCAUAAACUUGAAACCACAUCAAAAUAAAGUGUUCUCCAGAAA